rnacentral:tmRNA from 1 species
GGGGGUGUACCGGUUUCGACUCGUACGAUUCGUGGUGCAGGUUGCAGGUGGAGUGCCGAUCUCCUUGAUUCGGCGCCAAUUUAAUUGCCAAUUAUGACAAUUCCGCUUACGCUCUAGCAGCAUAAGCGCGUGGGACCGCUCCGCCGCCUUGAGGAGCGGCUCCUGCGUUGCAAUCAGGGCUGGUCUUUUUCUGAUGUCCGGGCGGAAAAAGAUAAGAUAUUCGGAAUAAGGGUGGAAUAUGCCUGCCGUGAAGCGAACUUCCAUUCUGACACAUCUAAUCCACGGAUAAACCUGUAGAGGCUUGCACUGCGCGUAUGAGGACGCGGGUUCGACUCCCGCCACCUCCAUUC